CGGAGCGCGGAAGCGCGUGAGCGGUUGUUGUCCGAAGUCUGGUCGAUCUCCUGCCGCGGACGGCUGGGCGAGAAGGGAGAGAAGAUGGUGGUCCUUCGCAGCAGUCUAGAGCUGCAGAGCCACCCCGCCGCCUCGGCCACGGACUCUCUGGACCUGUCCAGCGAAUUCCUCAGUUUGGAGCAGAUCGGCCGGAGGCGGCUCCGCUCGGCCGGCGCCGCUGAGCAGUCUGCCGUCACCGCGGCCGCCGCGGGCGAUGGGUCUACAGUUAAGGAAGUUGAAACCUACCACCAGACACGUACUUUAAGGUCCUUGAGAAAAAAUGCACAGAAUUCUUCAGAUUCUAGUUUUGAUAAGAAUACGGUGAUAACGGAGAAACAUGCUAAUGGCAGACAUUUUACAAGGCAGUUGGCCAGACAGCAGGCUGAUAAAAAAAAAGAAGAGUGCAAAGAAGACAAAGCAAUUGCAGUUACUCGGUCAUUGAGAACUAGAAACAUAGUUCAAAAAACAGAACACUUGCAUGAAGAGAACGGUGAUGUUGAAGUUCGCCGGAGUUGUAGGAUCAGAAGCCGCUAUGGUAGUGUGAACCAGUCUGUACUGUUUGACAAACUUAUAACAAACACUGCUGAAGCUGUGCUUCAAAAAAUGGAUGAUAUGAAGAAGCAGCGUAGACGGCGAAUGAGAAAAUUUGAAGACUUGGAGGGGAAUCUUAACAUGUACACAAGAGGUAAACAAAAAGAUAUUCAAAGAACUGAUGAAGAAACAACUGACAAUCAAGAAGGCAGUGGCGAGUCAUCUGAAGAGGGUGAAGACCAAGAAGAUGAAGAUGAUGAUGGUGAAGAUGAAGAUGAUGAAGAGGAGGAGGAAGAUGAUGAUGAGGAAGAUGAUGACGAUGAAGAGGACGAUGAAGAUGAAGAGGACGUCGAAGAAGAUAAUCAGAAGCGAUACUAUCUUAGACAAAGAAAGGCUACUGUUUACUAUCAGGCUCCAUUGGAAAAACCUCGUCAUCAAAGAAAGCCCAAAAUAUUUUAUACUGGCCCAGCUUCUCCUGCGAGACCAAGAUAUCGAUUAUCUUCUGCGGGACCAAGAAGUCCUUAUUGUAAACGAAUGAACAGGCGAAGGCAUGCGAUUCACAGCAGCGACUCCACUUCCUCCUCCUCUUCAGAAGAUGAGCAGUUUGAGAGGAGAAGAAAAAGGAGCCGCAACAGAGCCAUCAACAGGUGCCUCCCACUAAAUUUUCGCAAAGAUGAAUUAAAAGGAAUUUAUAAAGAUCGAAUGAAAAUCGGAGCAAGCCUUGCUGAUGUUGAUCCAAUGCAACUGGAUUCUUCAGUACGAUUUGAUAGUGUUGGUGGCUUGUCUAAUCAUAUUGCAGCUCUAAAAGAGAUGGUAGUAUUUCCAUUACUUUAUCCAGAAGUCUUUGAAAAAUUCAAAAUUCAACCUCCAAGAGGUUGUUUGUUUUAUGGUCCACCUGGAACUGGAAAAACUCUGGUUGCCAGAGCACUUGCCAAUGAGUGCAGUCAAGGGGAUAAAAGAGUAGCAUUUUUCAUGAGGAAAGGUGCCGACUGUCUGAGUAAGUGGGUAGGAGAAUCUGAGAGACAGCUUCGAUUGCUGUUUGAUCAGGCCUAUCAGAUGCGCCCGUCAAUUAUUUUCUUUGAUGAAAUUGAUGGUCUGGCCCCAGUACGAUCAAGCCGGCAAGAUCAAAUUCACAGUUCAAUUGUUUCCACCUUACUAGCUCUGAUGGAUGGAUUGGACAGCAGAGGAGAAAUUGUGGUCAUUGGUGCUACCAACAGACUGGAUUCUAUUGAUCCUGCUUUACGAAGGCCUGGUCGUUUUGACAGAGAAUUCCUUUUUAGCCUACCUGAUAAAGAUGCUCGAAAAGAAAUUCUAAAAAUUCACACAAGGGAUUGGAAUCCUAAACCACUGGACAUAUUUCUGGAAGAACUCGCAGAAAACUGUGUUGGAUACUGUGGUGCAGAUAUUAAGUCAAUAUGCUCUGAAGCUGCUUUAUGUGCUCUGCGUCGACGCUACCCACAGAUCUAUACCACUAGUGAGAAACUGCAGUUGGAUCUCUCUUCAAUUAAUAUCUCAGCUAAGGACUUUGAAGUAGCUAUGCGAAAGAUGAUACCAGCCUCCCAGAGAGCUGUGGCGUCCCCUGGGCAGGCACUGUCCGCCAUUGUGAAACCGCUACUGCAGAGCACUGUGCAGAAGAUCCUCGAAGCCCUCCGGAGAGUGUUUCCACAUGCGGAAAGCAGAACAAAUAAAGCGUUAGACUCUGAUAUUUCUUGUCCUCUCUUAGAAAGUGACUUGGCAUACAGUGAUGAUGAUGUUCCAUCAGUAUACGAAAAUGGACUUUCUCAAAAAUCCCUUAAUAAGGCAAAAGAAAAUUUUAAUUUUCUUCAUUUGAAUAGAAAUGCUUGUUGUCAACCUAUGUCUUUUCGACCAAGAAUGCUGAUAGUGGGCGAACCAGGAUUUGGGCAAGGUUCUCAUUUAGCACCAGCUGUCAUUCAUGCUUUAGAAAAAUUUGCAGUAUACACUUUAGACAUUCCUGUUCUUUUUGGAGUCAGUGCUACAUCUCCUGAAGAAACAUGUGCCCAGGUGAUUCGUGAAGCUAAGAGAACAGCACCAAGUAUAGUGUAUGUUCCUCACAUUCACUUGUGGUGGGAAAUAGUUGGACCAACACUCAAAGCCACGUUUACCACAUUAUUACAGAAUAUUCCUUCUUUUGCUCCAGUUUUACUACUUGCCACUUCUGACAAACCCCAUUCCACUCUACCAGAAGAGGUACAAGAAUUAUUUAUCCGUGACUAUGGAGAAAUUUUUAAUGUCCAGUUACCUAGUAAAGAAGAACGGACACAGUUUUUUGAAGAUUUAAUUCUGAAGCAAGCUGCUAAGCCUCCUAUAUCCAGAAAGAAAGCAGUUUUGCAGGCCCUGGAGGUACUCCCUGUGGCACCACCACCUGAGCCAAGACCACUGACAGCAGAAGAACUGAAACGACUAGAAGAGCAAGAGGAAGAUACAUUUAGAGAACUGAGGAUUUUUUUAAGAAAUGUUACACAUAGGCUUGCUAUUGACAAGCGAUUCAGAAUAUUUACUAAACCUGUUGACCCUGAUGAGGUUCCCGAUUAUGUCACCGUAAUAAAGCAACCAAUGGACCUUUCAUCUGUAAUCAGUAAAAUUGAUCUCCACAAGUAUCUAACUGUGAAAGACUAUUUGAGUGAUAUUGAUCUGAUCUGUAGUAAUGCUUUAGAAUACAAUCCAGAUAGAGAUCCUGGAGAUCGUCUUAUUAGGCAUAGAGCCUGUGCUUUAAGAGAUACUGCUUAUGCAAUAAUUAAAGAAGAACUUGAUGAAGACUUUGAGCAGCUUUGUGAAGAAAUUCAGGAAUCUAGAAAGAAAAGAGGUUGUAGCUCUUCCAGAUAUGCCCCAUCUUACUACCAUGUAAUGCCAAAGCAAAAUUCCACUCCUGCUGGUGAUAAAAAAUCAGAUCCAGAGCAAAGUGAAAAGCCAAGGACGCCCAGUACUCCUGUGGCUUGCAGCACUCCUGCUCAGUUGAAGAGAAAAAUCCGCAGAAAAUCAAAGUGGUACUUGGGCACCAUAACAAAACGAAGGAAGAUCUCACAGGCAAAAGAUGACAGCCAGAAUGUCACAGGUGACAGAAUUGAGAGUGAUACAGAGGAAAAUCAAGAUACAAGUGUAGACCACAAUGAGACCGGAAACACAGGGGAGUCUUCAAUGGAAGAAAAUGAAAAGCCGCAAAAUGCCUCUGAAAGCAAAACAGAAUUGGAAAAUAACAAUUCAGGUGCUUGUAUUGAGAAUGAACCUGAAGAAUCUGGAAAGACUACAGCAUGUACAGAAUUGAGGAAAGAUAAGAUUGCUUGUAACGGAGAUGCUUCUAGCUCUCAGAUAAUAGACAUUUCUGAUGAAAAUGAAGCAAAAGAAAUGUGUGUUCUGCGAAUGACUCGAGCUAGACGUUCCCAAGUAGAGCAACAGCAGCUCAUCAGUGUUGAAAAGGCUUUGGCAAUUCUUUCUCAGCCUACACCCUCACUUGUUGUGGACCAUGAGCGACUGAAAAAUCUUUUGAAGAUUGUUGUUAAAAAAAGUCAAGAAUACAAUAUUUUUCAGUUGGAAAAUUUAUAUGCUGUAAUCAGCCAGUGUAUUUAUCAGCAUCGCAGGGACUAUGACAAAACAGCACUUAUUCAGAAAAUGCAGCAAGAAGUAGAAAACUUCAGUUGUUCCAGAUCAUGAUGUCAUGAUACCAAGUAUUUUUUAUAUUCAGUUCCUAUUUAAUUCACCUUUGUCAUGUUGACAUAACUAAUGCAAGAUGAAAUUCUGAAUCUCUAAGGAAAAGAGUAAAAUAGGUGUGGACUAUGGCAGGAUUGAAAGCCUACGUUUACAAGAUUAAGCUUUGCUUGCUUCUGCUUCCACAAGUUCUGGGGAUCUAAGACGAACCAUAUAAGUAAAAAAAAAGCUGGUGUACAUUGAUUUCAACCAUCAAGCUUUCACUUUAAGCAACUGCAUGUUUGGGGAUUAAUGUGGCUCAGCGGAGCGCUGCUGUCAAAGCACAGAGGGUCCAGGACUGGGGUGGCGGCGGGGAAUGAACACUAAUCCACCAGAGUUCUCACACGUUCUGGUCCGUGAAUCUGAGCCGACUAGCUUGAGGGUGAUGGCAGAUAGGUACUUUGGACCUGUUGGUAAUGAUGGCCUGAGCUAAACACCUCCUAAUUUGAAGGGACACCCUUCCGUGUCAAAGAACAGAAUGGGGAGGAGACUGUGGCAGCUGCCUAAAACGUUGGAGGAGAAUCAAUUCUUCAACUCCAGAUGUCUGAUUUACUGUGAAUGGCCCAAUCUUUGAUGACAUUGAAAACGUUUGGGGGCAUAUACAGUCUCAAAAAAUAGGAUCCAAUACCCAAAAGAAAUGGAAUUCAGUGUUGUGCCAAAGUAAACUACUGCAAAUGGCAGAAGUCCUGCAAUGUACAUAGAACACUAAUUAAAAAAACAACUUGUAAAAAUUCAGAUUUUAAUACAGUACAUUUUUAUUCUGAUAUGAUGGAGACAUUCUGAUUCUUAGACUUUCUGAGGAAGUUUAAUGACCACUAGAGCUUGUCCUCAUAUUUUUUUCAGCUUAAUAGUGUAUGUCUCAUAAGAUGGGCCUUAUUGCCUGUAUUCUUUGAUACGUGAUUAAGCCUAUAGCUUUCAGUGACCAAACAUUUUACAGAGUAAAAAUUGUUAGAAGCAGGAAAAAGAAAAAUCUGAUUUAUUUCUAUGUCUCAUUUAUCUGGCCCUGCACUAAGAUUAAGAGUUGUGCAUGGGUUUAUAUAAUUCCAAUGUAAGUAAAAAACUAUUGACACAUGUUGGAGCAAAGAGGUUUUGUGGUAUCAUUGGCACUUAAUGAUUGGACCUUUCAUUGAACACAUUCAUGGAUACCACGAUUACUAUUUGUAAUACUCCGUUACUAUUUUUCAUUAGAAACUGAAUUAGCUUUUUUUUUAAACCGAACAUAAUCAGUACUGAAGAAGGGAAAGAAACUGGCAUAGGAAUUUCAAGAGGGUGAAACUCUGAAGUAAACGUUGUACCAAAAAUGUGAAAAGGAAUCAUGUAGUAAGUGUUAACUUACGCUUUUCUUACAAUCAUAGAGAAAUCAGAAAUGUUUGUACAGGUGUCAAAUCAGAGCUUUCAAAAAUUAUCUUUUGGUGAAAUUCUACUUUGUGUAACAAUUUCAGUGAAUAAAGAAAAAAAAUUCUGAACUGAUCAGAGUGAGUUAAAACUUAGCUCUUCACUUAUGAAUUAUGGGAGUGUUAACUGUUAACUCUUGCCAUUUCAGGAGACUGAAAGUUCCUCCUAAUUCAUAAACUUUGUAAAGACCGGUGCUGUUCAUUCGUGUUGAGAAGGAUCCUUUUCUUUGUGACUAUAGGACCAUUUUUCAAAAUGUGCUUUCUUCAUAGAAGAAAUGUUCAGUUUCAUUAGCUUUGGAUUUUAAGAUGUUUUUCUGAAUGACCAGAUGUAGUGGGCUUGGCCAGUUUAUUUUGUCUAAUUUAAUGAAUAAUAAAUAUUAAGCUCUUGUUUUUACCUUAAUGUUUUGUCAGCUAAUGAAAAUGUUAUGAAAAAGCCUUGACUAUGCAUGCUGCUUUCAUUUUUAUAAACUUUUCAUUUUUAACUAUAGCUUUAUUAGUAAUUCCAAAAUGCUGCAAUUUAGCUGAUUUCUUCACUCAGACAGCUGGCUUUGUGGGUGGCUUUUUCAUACUACUGUUAACUUUUUAAAGAGAAGCAAUGUAAAGACUGUAACAAUUUAAUGCACUAAACUGUUCUUUCUUUUACACGUUUAAAAACUUCUUAAAGCACUCUGUAUUAUAAAGAUUAAAUUGCUCCCUUUUUUAAACCAUU